rnacentral:rRNA from 1 species
UACUAUUAAAUAGGGAGUCGGACCUGCCCGGUGAAAUUUUUUAACGGCCGCGGUACUCUGACCGUGCAAAGGUAGCAUAAUCAUUUGCCUUAUAACUGAAGGCUAGUAUGAAUGGUUUGACAAGAGCGUAACUGUCUCUUUACAAUUAAUUAGAAUUUUAUUUUUAGGUGAAGAAGCCUAUAUAUAAUUGAAAGACAAGAAGACCCUAUCGAGCUUAAAAAGAGUUGGUAAGCCUAAUUUUUAAUAAAACAUUAAUUUCCGUUUAUCAUAAAUUUUAGUUGGGGCGACUGAGGAACAAACAAAGCUUCCUUUAAACACAUAAAAUAAGCUGACAAGUUUUGAUCCAAAAAUUUUGAUUAAAGAAAUUAGUUACCGUAGGGAUAACAGCAUUAUUUUCUUUGAGAGUUCUUAUCGAAAAGAGAGUUUGUGACCUCGAUGUUGGACCAGAAUAUCCUAAAGAUGCAGCCGUCUUUAAGGGUUGGUCUGUUCGACCAUUAAAAUUCU